rnacentral:tRNA from 1 species
GCCGGGGUAGCUCAAUUGGUAGAGCAGUUGGCUCUUAAUCAAUUGGUUCGUUGUUCGAGUCCCCGGUCCGGUACCA